GUUAAUGUAGCUUAAUCCCUAAAGCAAAGCACUGAAAAUGCUUAGAUGGGUUGAUCAACCCCAUAAACAUA
rnacentral:tRNA from 1 species